rnacentral:rRNA from 1 species
CUGCUAUCGGAUGAUACUAAGCCAUGCGAGUCUUUGCAGUAAUGCAAGGCAUACGGCUCAGUAACACGUAGUCAACCUACCCUAUGGACGAGAAUAAUCUCGGGAAACUGAGCAUAAUUCUUGAUAGAUCAUAAUGCCUGGAAUGGUUUAUGGUUAAAAUGAUUCGUCGCCAUAGGAUGGGACUGCGGCCUAUCAGCUUGUUGGUGAGGUAAUGGCCCACCAAGGCGAUUACAGGUACGGGCUCUGAGAGGAGAAGCCCGGAGAUGGGUACUGAGACACGGACCCAGGCCCUAUGGGGCGCAGCAGGCGAGAAAACUUUGCAAUGUGCGAAAGCACGACAAGGUUAAUCCGAGUGAUUUCUGCUAAAGAAAUCUUUUGCCAGUCGUAAAACCGCUGGUGAAUAAGGGGUGGGCAAGUUCUGGUGUCAGCCGCCGCGGUAAAACCAGCACCUCAAGUGGUCAGGAUGAUUAUUGGGCCUAAAGCAUCCGUAGCCGGCUUUGUAAGUUUUCGGUUAAAUCCAUGUGCUCAACGCAUGGGCUGCCGAAAAUACUGCAUAGCUAGGGAGUGGGAGAGGUAGACGGUACUCAGUAGGUAGGGGUAAAAUCCUUUGAUCUAUUGAUGACCACCUGUGGCGAAGGCGGUCUACCAGAACACGUUCGACGGUGAGGGAUGAAAGCUGGGGGAGCAAACCGGAUUAGAUACCCGGGUAGUCCCAGCUGUAAACGAUGCAGACUAGAUGAUGCAUUGGCAUAAUAGCCAUUGCAGUGUCUCAGGGAAGCCGUUAAGUCUGCCGCCUGGGAAGUACGUACGCAAGUAUGAAACUUAAAGGAAUUGGCGGGGGAGCACCACAAGGGGUGAAGCCUGCGGUUCAAU